AAACAUAUGUACAAAAUUGGUUAUGAUUUCAAUUCUUCGAUUCAAUAUGGUUCGGUACAGGUUCGAUACGAUUCUCCUUUCGGUAUUGAUAAAGAAAAAGAAUUGUACCAAAAUAGUAAAAUAAGUUCAUUUCGGGAUGGUACAGUUUGGUUCAGUUCCUACAGAGUUGGUUCUUUUUUGGUUUUGAUUCUUUUCAGUCCGGCUAGGGAGAAUUAGGAAACGCGCACACCCUACUUGCGUGCAUGAUAUAUCAAGCCAUAACUACUAAAUAAAUCAUAAUUCUCAAAGUCCUUAACAAUUUCCAACUAUGCUAAAUGUUUUUACCAACAAUUAGUAAAUUAGAAAUCAAUAUCAGAUUGAAAACACAGUAUGAACAUGCAAGCAUACAAGACAUCGCUUCAAUCAAAUAUUAUUCAACAAGCUAACUUAAGAAAACUAAUAAAAAUGAUCUUCACAUUAACACAAUUGAUUUUUUUUCUUUUUUUAUCCAAAGGCUAGCAACAAAACGAAGGCAAUUCUCCCUAUUUAACAAUCAACCUAUAUAAGGUGAGAUUCAUAUCCGGUUAGGAUUGAGACAUUGAUUAGCAAAUUAAACAAGAAAUAGAUAGGAUUGGGAUAUUGAGUAGCAAAUUAAACAAGAAAUAGAAGAUUGUGGCGCAGUCUAAAGUGCAAAACAUUGUGAACAGUAAAAUAGAAGAGUUUAGACUUGAAACACGCCUAAACUAAAUUAGGUGUUGCAUCUAAUUUUCCUGUUGGCAUCACAAAAUCCAACAAAGUGUAGUUGCUACAGUUAUAUUCAACAGAAAACCAAUUAAUAAGCAUUACAAGAAAAGUUAUUUAUAGACUUAAAGUAGUGUGCUAAACUUUAAAGUAUAAAAAGCUUACCCCAAAGCCUUUAAGAAUUCGGAGUUUGGACUCCAUUAAAAACUAAGGCUCCUUUUGUUUCAUAGAAAAUAUUUUAAAAAAAACAAAUUCCUACUUUUGGAGCAUUUAGGAAAUUGUUUUGGUUACCAAAAGAAAAGCUAAGGCAUUUUUAAGAAAAAUGAUUCCAUGUUUUCAAACGAGUGAAACACAGUCAUUUUUCAAUAGCCACAUACUAAUUAGUACACCAACCACUGCCAAUCAUCUCCAAUCAUCAAUAGCAUCGGCACUAUUAUCAAAGGCGCACCAGGCGCAGCCCCAG
rnacentral:misc_RNA from 1 species